rnacentral:rRNA from 1 species
UCCUACGGGGGGCAGCAGUAGGGAAUCUUCCGCAAUGGGCGAAAGCCUGACGGAGCAACGCCGCGUGAGUGAUGAAGGUCUUCGGAUCGUAAAGCUCUGUUGUUAGGGAAGAACAUAUGUGUAAGUAACUGUGCACAUCUUGACGGUACCUAACCAGAAAGCCACGGCUAACUACGUGCCAGCAGCCGCGGUAAUACGUAGGUGGCAAGCGUUAUCCGGAAUUAUUGGGCGUAAAGCGCGCGUAGGCGGUUUUUUAAGUCUGAUGUGAAAGCCCACGGCUCAACCGUGGAGGGUCAUUGGAAACUGGAAAACUUGAGUGCAGAAGAGGAAAGUGGAAUUCCAUGUGUAGCGGUGAAAUGCGCAGAGAUAUGGAGGAACACCAGUGGCGAAGGCGGCUUUCUGGUC